GAUGAAGAACGCAGCGAAAUGCGAUAAGUAAUGUGAAUUGCAGAAUUCAGUGAAUCAUCGAAUCUUUGAACGCACAUUGCGCCCGCCAGUAUUCUGGCGGGCAUGCCUGUUCGAGCGUCAUUUCAACCAUCAAGCCCCCGGCUUGUGUUGGGGACCUGCGGCUGCCGCAGGCCCUGAAAAGCAGUGGCGGGCUCGCUGUCACACCGAGCGUAGUAGCAUACAUCUCGCUCUGGGCGUGCUGCGGGUUCCGGCCGUUAAACCACCUUCAUAACCCAAGGUUGAUCUCGGAUCAGGUAGGAAGACCCGCUGAACUUAAGCAUAUCAAUAAGCGGAGGA
rnacentral:misc_RNA from 1 species